GGGUGACACAGGUUGGGUGACAGAGGGUGACAAGGGCUGGGUGGCGCGGGGGGACCUGGAGUGACACGCGAUGGGUGACAUGCGAUGGGUGACGCGGGGUGACGCGGCGGGUGACCCGGGCUGACACGCGUGACGCCCGCGCGCGCAGGGGCCUGGCGCAUCGUCGUGGAGAAGGUGCAGGAGGCUCGAGCCAACGCCCGGCUGCGGCACCUCUCGUUCGCUGGUGAGCCGGACGCCUGGGCCCCUCCCGGACGCCUGGGCCCCUUCCCGGACACCUGGGCCCCUUUCCCGGACACCUGGGCCCCUUCCCGGACGCCUGGGCCCCUUCCCGGAAUCCUGGGUUCCUCCCGGACGCCUGGGUCCCUCCCAGACACCUGGGCCCCUUCCCGGACACCUGGGCCCCUUUCCCGGACGCCUGGGCCCCUCCCGGACACCUGGGCCCCUUCCCGGACACCUGGGCCCUUCCCGGACACCUGGGCCCCUCCCGGACACCUUGGGUCCCUCCCGGACACCUGGGCCCAUCCCGGACACCUGGGCCCCUCCCGGACACCUGGGCCCUUCCCGGACGCCUGGGUCCCUCCCGGACACCUGGGCCCCUCCCGGACACCUGGGCCCCUCCCAGACACCUUGGGUCCCUCCCGGACACCUGGGCCCCUUUCCCGGACACCUGGGCCCCUUCCCGGACGCCUGGGCCCCUUCCCGGACACCUGGGCCCCUCCCGGACGCCUGGGCCCCUUUCCCGGACACCUGGGCUCCUUCCCGGACACCUGGGCCCCUCCCGGACGCCUGGGCCCCUCCCGGACGCCUGGGCCCUUCCCGGAUGCCUGGGCCCCUCCCGGACGCCUGGGUCCUUCCCGGACGCCUGGGCCCCUUUCCCGGAUGCCUGGGCCCCUUUCCCGGACGCCUGGGCCCCUCCCCCCCGGACGCCUGGGCCCCCCGCAGGCGAGCACCACCUGCUCAUCGCCGCGGUGACGCUGGAGGACGACGGCGCCUUCGAGUGUCAGCUGGGAGCCGCCAACGGCACCGAGGCCCGAGCGUCGCGGCCCGGCCUGCUCAGCGUGCUGGGUGCGCCGGGGGGGACUGGGGGGACUGGGAGGCACUGGGGGGACUGGGAGGCACUGGGAGGGAACUGGGAGGCACUGGGGGGGAACUGGGAGGCACUGGGAGGGAACUGUGAGGCACUGGGGGAACUGGGAGGCACUGGGAGGGCACUGGGAGGUGACUGGGAGGGGACUGGUGGUUACUGGGUGGUACUGGGUGGUACUGGGGGUCACUGGAGGUCACUGGUGGUUGCUGUGUGGUCACUGGGAGGUUACUGGUGGUGACUGGGAGGUGACUGGGGUGUCACUGGUGGUUACUGGGAGGCACUGGGAUGUCACUGGAGGUGACUGGGUGUCACUGGGAUGCACUGGGAUGUCACUGGGAUGUCACUGGGGGUCACUGGUGAUUACUGGGAGGUGACUGGUGGUUACUGGUGGUUACUGGGAUGCACUGGGAGGCACUGGGAUGUCACUGGGAGGUGACUGGUGGUUACUGGGAGGCACUGGGAUGCACUGGGAGGUCACUAGGGGUCACUGGUGGUUACUGGUGGUUACUGGUGGUUACUGGGAGGUGACUGGGUGUUACUGGGGUGUUACUGGUGGUUACUGGGAGGUGACUGGGAGGUGACUGGGAGGUGACUGGUGGUUACUGGUGUUACUGGGAUGCCCUGGGAUGGCACUGGUGGUUACUGGGAGGCACUGGUAGGCACUGGGAUGUCACUGGGAGGUCACUCGGAGGUCACUGGUGGUUACUGGGAGGUGACUGGGAGGUGACUGGUGGUUACUGGUGUUACUGGUGGUUACUGGGAUGGCACUGGUGGUUACUGGGAGGUGACUGGUGGUUGCUGGGAUGCACUGGGAGGUCACUGGUGGUUACUGGGAGGUGACUGGGUGUUACUGGUGGUUACUGGGAGGUGACUGGGAGGUUACUGGGAGGUGACUGGUGGUUACUGGUGUUACUGGUGGUUACUGGGAGGUGACUGGUGGUUGCU
ensembl:lncRNA